rnacentral:lncRNA from 1 species
GCCCCCAAAUCUACGCCAGCUAUCACUUGAUUUGUUUGAAAUGCCUCGCUGAUGGCUUUGCAGGAAGCUGAAAUUUUACCAAGCGAGGUACAGCACAGCUGUGAGGUUCCCCCCUUUAGUAUUUGCUUCCAAACUUCACGAUUAUAACUCUGGAUUCUCCACACUCCAGCAAGUUUCCCACAAGACCUGAAAGAGGAGGUUUGUCUCGUGUCACUUGUUACUUCAAGGGCCACAUUCGAGCAUCUGUCAUGUUCAUGUUCUCAAGAAGUCGUUAGAACACACAUAAAUUUAGCAGACGCUUCAUGCACGGCUCCAAGCACUAGAAUAGCAAAUGGACGUCGUGGAGAAAGCCGCUGGCCUCAAGGAGCCCACAGCCUAGCAGGAGACACCACGUGCUUCGAGCCAUAAGGAGGAUGAGAGCCAGCAGCUACAGAGGCACCGGGGCUGGGGAGGCGGCCUCCUUGAUGUGUGCCCCCGGGCCGUGGGGUGAGGGUCUUCUGGACUCCAAGAACAGGGAAAGCCCUUCCAAGGGCAUCAGGCCUGAGCUGGGCAUGGACUGUAGCAUCACGGGAUGGUCCAGAGGCAGUGCCAUGCGGCUGCCACCACGGACAAUCACGAACAGUCUGAGGCAGCAAAUUGCAAGUCUGUGUCUUCAAUGAAGGGGAAACUUUUCCUACCUAAACUCCCGAGGUUCUGAAACCCCUCUGCCUCCAGCUCAGUGAAGGCAGAGGACAGACCCACAGUGGAAACGUUGUCGUCCUUCUGGGCAAGUCUUCCUAGAAGAGAGCCGAGGAACUCUCUGUUCUCCAGGCGACCGCACUGGAGGCUUGGGAAGCCCCGCAACCUCGCAGCAGCCGAUGCUCUGAGACGGUGGCUCGUCGCCCGCAGCAGUCUUUCCAAGGACCCGGUCUCGAGCUCUGCUGCUCCCGCUGAAUCCAAUGGGUCUUGUUCAAACUGCACCCGGGACUGUGGCGUGGCGUGCAUGUUCGGAGCCUGGGCCCAGAGCCGGCUGUCCCGCUUCUAAUCUGCCGCUGGAGACACAGACCGCUUUAAGCCCCACGCCUCUCCUGCUGAUGAUGGGGAAAGCUGGCCUCACACUCCAACCCCCCACCACCCCAGACCUGACAGGGAAGAGAAGCUCAGGGAGUUUCCAGCAUCGGCUCCAAACGAGUGGAAGUCCGGCCCCAUCCUCCAACUUCCUGUCGGCAAGUCCGGGCCUCGGCUAGCCCAUUCAGCCAGAAGGCGCCUGGCGGAGGGCUCCAGCGUUCGCUCUUGCCUUCCCCUCCUCCAGCCUCUUCUCCCUCUGGCCUCCACCCAGCUCCACGGUGACCAUCCUUCAGGUGGAAUUCCCUCCCCAGCGGCAGCGGAUGCAUCUCCCUCUUCCCAGCCCAAGGGACCUUUCCUCCUAUGGGCAGGCACAGCCCGCACUGGGCGCAUCCCGUCCCGGCCCCCGAGUAGAGUGUAAGCUCUGUGUGGGCCAAAGCGAAGACUGCACAUGGUUAUUUCCACCCCACGCGCCUCCCCCUGGCACAGAGGUGGAGCAGGCACUAGGUAAACACUUACUGGUGGAGGAGAAGGAAACAGCUCCAAGGUGCAAUGCGCCGAUUUCCUGACACUCCAGGUCACCUGGUGGAGCAAGGACAUUGUUCUGAGAAGUCUGCACCCAUAAAGAUAAGGGAGAGAGGAAAGGCCAUACACCAUAAUUUCUCCCAUGUUACUGCAGAUGAUUUCAUAUCGAAAUGGAAGGUGGAGGGGAGGCAGGAAUGACGGCACCCUAGACGGAGCAGGGCCCCGAGGGG